rnacentral:rRNA from 1 species
AGAUUGAACGCUGGCGGAAUGCUUUACACAUGCAAGUCGAACGGCAGCACGGGACUCAGGCAACUGAGCCCUGGUGGCGAGUGGCGAACGGGUGAGUAACAUAUCGGAACGUACCCAGUCGUGGGGGAUAACUCUACCGAAAGGAGAGCUAAUACCGCAUACGUCCUGAGGGAGAAAGCGGGGACCUAAGGGUAACUGAGGGCCUCGCGCGAUUGGAGCGGCGAUAUCGGAUUAGCUAGUUGGUGGGUAAAGGCUCACAAGGCGACGAUCGUAGCGGUCUGAGAGGACCGACCCGCACACUGGAACUGACGACACGGU